rnacentral:rRNA from 1 species
ACUCCUACGGGAGGCAGCAGUGGGGAAUUUUGGACAAUGGGCGAAAGCCUGAUCCAGCCAUGCCGCGUGCAGGAUGAAGGCCUUCGGGUUGUAAACUGCUUUUGUACGGAACGAAACGGCCUUUUCUAAUAAAGAGGGCUAAUGACGGUACCGUAAGAAUAAGCACCGGCUAACUACGUGCCAGCAGCCGCGGUAAUACGUAGGGUGCAAGCGUUAAUCGGAAUUACUGGGCGUAAAGCGUGCGCAGGCGGUUAUGUAAGACAGUUGUGAAAUCCCCGGGCUCAACCUGGGAACUGCAUCUGUGACUGCAUAGCUAGAGUACGGUAGAGGGGGAUGGAAUUCCGCGUGUAGCAGUGAAAUGCGUAGAUAUGCGGAGGAACACCGAUGGCGAAGGCAAUCCCCUGGACCUGUACUGACGCUCAUGCACGAAAGCGUGGGGAGCAAACAGGAUUAGAAACCCCUGUAGUCCCAU